rnacentral:rRNA from 1 species
UGGGGAUUAUUGGACAAUGGGCGAAAGCCUGAUCCAGCCAUGCCGCGUGUGUGAAGAAGGUCUUCGGAUUGUAAAGCACUUUAAGUUGGGAGGAAGGGCAGUAAGCGAAUACCUUGCUGUUUUGACGUUACCGACAGAAUAAGCACCGGCUAACUCUGUGCCAGCAGCCGCGGUAAUACAGAGGGUGCAAGCGUUAAUCGGAAUUACUGGGCGUAAAGCGCGCGUAGGUGGUUCGUUAAGUUGAAUGUGAAAGCCCCGGGCUCAACCUGGGGACUGCAUCCAAAACUGGCGAGCUAGAGUAGGGCAGAGGGUGGGGGAAUUUCCUGUGUAGCGGUGAAAUGCGUAGAUAUAGGAAGGAACACCAGUGGCGAAGGCGACCACCUGGGCUCAUACUGACACUGAGGUGCGAAAGCGUGGGGAGCAAACAGG